rnacentral:tRNA from 1 species
GCCCGGGUAGCUUAGUGGUAUAGCACACGCAUGGUAAGCGUGAGGUCGAAGGUUCGAUUCCUUUCCCGGGCA